AUAUAACUAAGCGGAGGAAAAGAAACUAACUAGGAUUCCUUUAGUAACGGCGAGUGAACAAGGAAGAGCCCAUCACCGAAUCCUUCUCGGCCUCGGGUAAGGAAUUGUGGUGUAAAGGACAGUCUUUGUUAUAGUAUCGUCAGUCCAAGUUCUCUUGAAUGGGGCUUUCCCAGAGCGGGUGUAAGGCCUCUAGCGACUGAUCGGUGCUGUAACUUGGUUUGUCCCGAGAGUCGGAUUACUUGAGAUCGUAGUCCUAAGACGGGUGGUAAACUCCAUCCAAGGCUAAAUACCGUCGCGAGACCGAUAGCGCACAUGUA
rnacentral:rRNA from 1 species